rnacentral:rRNA from 1 species
CAGCAGCCGCGGGAAUACGAAGGGGGCUAGCGUUGCUCGGAAUGACUGGGCGUAAAGGGCGCGUAGGCGGAUUGCGCAGUCAGAUGUGAAAUUCCUGGGCUUAACCUGGGGGCUGCAUUUGAGACGCGUAGUCUAGAGUGUGAGAGAGGGUUGUGGAAUUCCCAGUGUAGAGGAGAAACUCGUAGAUAUUGGGAAGAACACCGGUGGCGAAGGCGGCAACCUGGCUCAUUACUGACGCUGAGGCGCGAAAGCGUGGGGAGCAAACAGGAUUAGAGACCCCGGUAGUCCCUGUCUCUUAUCC